UACGUAGGUGGCAAGCGUUGUCCGGAUUUACUGGGCGUAAAGAGCGCGCAGGCGGUCGUUCAAGUCGCGUGUGAAAGCCCCCGGCUCAACUGGGGAGGGUCACGCGAUACUGAUCGACUCGAAGGCAGGGGAGAGCGGAACUCCUGGUGUAGCGGUGGAAUGCGCAGAUAUCAGGAAGAACACCGGUGGCGAAGGCGGCUCUCUGGGCCUUACCUGACGCUGAGGAGCGAAAGCGUGGGUAGCGAACAGG
rnacentral:rRNA from 1 species